rnacentral:rRNA from 1 species
GGAUGGGCCUGCGCCGUAUCAGCUUGUAGGGGUUGUAAAGUACCCCUCUAGCCAUCUACGCGUACGGGUGUUGGGAGACAUUGCCCGGAGAUGGAUUCUGAGACACGAAUCCAGACCCUACGGGGUGCAGCAGGCGCGAAAACUUGGCAAUGCGAGAGAUCGUGACCAGGGAACUCCAAGUGCGUAGGGUAAGACCUACGCUUUUCUUGACUCUUCAAAGGUCUUGGAAUAAGGGUUGGGUAAGGACGGUGCCAGCCGCCGCGGUAAUACCGGCGCCUCAAGUGGUAGUCGCUUUUAUUGGGCCUAAAACGUCCGUAGCCGGUCUGGUGCAUUCGUGGGUAAAUCAACCCGCUCAACGGGUUGAAUUCUGCGAGCACGGCCAGACUUGGGACCGGGAGAGGUGUGGGGUACUCUCAGGGUAGGGGUAAAAUCCUGUCAUCCUGAGAGGACCACCUGUUGCGAAGGCGCCACACUAGAACGGAUCCGACGGUCAGGGACGAAACCUAGGGGCACGAACCGGAUUAGAUACCCGGGUAGUCCUAGGUGUAAACGCUGUGGACUUGAUGUUGGGGGCGCUCCGAGCGCUCUCAGUGUCGAAGCGAAGGUGUAUAAGUCCACUGCCUUGGGGAGUACGGUCCGCAAGGCAUGAAACUCAAAGGA